GACGAACGCUGGCGGCGUGCCUAAUACAUGCAAGUCGAGCGCAGGAAACUGACGGAACUCUUCGGAGGGAAGGCAGCGGAAUGAGCGGCGGACGGGUGAGUAACACGUAAGGAACCUGCCUCAAGGAUUGGGAUAACUCCGAGAAAUCGGAGCUAAUACCGGAUAGUUCAACGGACCGCAUGGUCCGUUGAUGAAAGGCGCUUCGGCGUCACCUUGAGAUGGCCUUGCGGUGCAUUAGCUCGUUGGUGGGGUAACGGCCCACCAAGGCGACGAUGCAUAGCCGACCUGAGAGGGUGAUCGGCCACACUGGGACUGAGACACGGCCCAGACUCCUACGGGAGGCAGCAGUAGGGAAUCUUCCACAAUGGACGAAAGUCUGAUGGAGCAACGCCGCGUGAGUGAUGAAGGUUUUCGGAUCGUAAAACUCUGUUGUAAGGGAAGAACACGUACGAGAGGGAAUGCUCGUACCUUGACGGUACCUUACGAGAAAGCCACGGCUAACUACGUGCCAGCAGCCGCCGUAA
rnacentral:rRNA from 1 species